AGAACGAACGCUGGCGGCAGGCUUAACACAUGCAAGUCGAGCGCCUCGCAAGAGGAGCGGCAGACGGGUGAGUAACGCGUGGGAAUCUACCCAUCUCUACGGAACAACUCCGGGAAACUGGAGCUAAUACCGUAUACGUCCUUCGGAGAAAGAUUAUCGGAGAUGGAUGAGCCGCGUUGGAGUUAGCUAGUUGGUGGGGUAAGUGGCCUACCAAGGCGACGAUCCAUAGCUGGUCUGAGAGGAUGAUCAGCCACACUGGGACUGAGACACGGCCCAGACUCCUACGGGAGGCAGCAGUGGGAAUAUUGGACAAUGGGCGCAAGCCUGAUCCAGCCAUGCCGCGUGAGUGAUGAAGGCCUAGGGUUGUAAAGCUCUUUCAACGGUGAAGAUAAUGACGGUAACCGUAGAGAAGCCCCGGCUAACUUCGUGCCAGCAGCCGC
rnacentral:rRNA from 1 species